UACGUAGGGGCCUAGCGUUGUCCGGAAUUAUUGGGCGUAAAGAGCUCGUAGGCGGUUCGGCAAGUCGGAUGUGAAAUCUCCACGCUUAACGUGGAGGGGCCAUUCGAAACUGCUGUUACUCGAGUCCGGUAGGGGAGUGUGGAAUUCCCGGUGUAGCGGUGAAAUGCGCAGAUAUCGGGAGGAACACCAGUAGCGAAGGCGGCACUCUGGGCCGGUACUGACGCUGAGGAGCGAAAGCGUGGGGAGCGAACAGG
rnacentral:rRNA from 1 species